AUGGGAGCUUGCUCCCAUUUCUCAGCGGCGGACGGGUGAGUAACACGUGGGCAACCUGCCCUACAGACUGGGAUAACUCCGGGAAACCGGAGCUAAUACCGGGUAAUACAUAGCAUCGCAUGAUGCAACGUUGAAAGUUGGCCUUUGGCUAACACUGUAGGAUGGGCCCGCGGCGCAUUAGCUAGUUGGUAAGGUAACGGCUUACCAAGGCCACGAUGCGUAGCCGACCUGAGAGGGUGAUCGGCCACACUGGGACUGAGACACGGCCCAGACUCCUACGGGAGGCAGCAGUAGGGAAUCUUCCGCAAUGGACGAAAGUCUGACGGAGCAACGCCGCGUGAGUGACGAAGGCCUUCGGGUCGUAAAGCUCUGUUGUUAGGGAAGAACAAGUACCGUUCGAAUAGGGCGGUACCUUGACGGUACCUAACCAGAAAGCCACGGCUAACUACGUGCCAGCAGCCGCGGUAAUACGUAGGUGGCAAGCGUUGUCCGGAAUUAUUGGGCGUAAAGCGCGCGCAGGCGGUCUCUUAAGUCUGAUGUGAAAGCCCACGGCUCAACCGUGGAGGGCCAUUGGAAACUGGGGGACUUGAGUGCAGAAGAGGAGAGUGGAAUUCCACGUGUAGCGGUGAAAUGCGUAGAUAUGUGGAGGAACACCAGUGGCGAAGGCGGCUCUCUGGUCUGUAACUGACGCUGAGGCGCGAAAGCGUGGGGAGCGAACAGGAUUAGAUACCCUGGUAGUCCACGCCGUACACGAUGAGUGCUAGGUGUUGGGGGGGUUCCACCCUCAGUGAUGAAGUUAACACAUUAAGCACUCC
rnacentral:rRNA from 1 species